CUCUUUAAACUGUUGUUUGGUUCUCAUGAUGGGUAUCUCACAGCCAGCACUGUUCACACUAAUAUCAUCAGAUUUGUAUCACAAUUUCAACCUCCGUUUAUAAUCAUUCUUUGAUCACUGUGCCAGAUUAAGAUCCCCUUUUCCACUUUGCCCUUGCUUUAUUCACAAUUUCAAAAUUGGAUUUACCAGAUCCGUUCACAUCUCCUCCAUCUCUCUACUUCGUUCAUUUUGGGAACAACACUACAUUUCUCAGAGGAGCUCUUCUUAAAAUUGGUUCAUCCUUGGAACUACGAGUGCACGGAGGAAAUCCGCAGGACGCCGACUAAGACCCAACACCGAAUUUCACCGUCGUCAAAUUGGAGUAUUAUCUCAACGAAACUGACGCAACCAAAUGUCGAUGGUAUUUGAAGAAAUUGACCUGGCUGUGUAUGUAGCCGAGGCAAGAUGAAAUUGCUUUGCGCUGGGAAAGAAGCUAUACAUGCCGGGAGAUACUACUACAAAUGUCCGGCUAGUGCAAAACAUUCAGGGUCUUUUUUAUGGUGUGAUGAAUUCCAUAGUCGGCACGAAGAUGGGAAACAACCAACAUAUGUGAUGACUCAAUCGUAUCAACCUAUGAAGCAAGGGUCCUCUAUAGAUAACGUGAAAAAUAAAAAUGUGUCUUACACUAGUAGUGUUUGUGGAGUUUGUGGUCGUUGUCGUGCUGAAUCCCGUAUGAACUACUUGUUGGUCAUCAUGGGAUUAGUUUUAGUAGAAAAUAAAAAAUAGUUUCGAUCGUAUCCCAGACAUUAAUCUACCGCCAGCCUACUUACAUACACAAAACUAUGUUGAGUAAACUUUUUAUAAUGACUGAUUCCA